AGGACUCAACUGUUCUGAACACUGUCCUCACGCCGUCUUCGGGAGCGAAUGUCAAUCAGCAUGUCCACAGGAGUGCGAGGAUUGUCACCAUAUUACUGGAGAAUGUCUAACAGAACAAAAUGACUGUGAUCCAGGAUUCACAGGACCUAACUGUUCUGAUCGCUGUCCUCGUGGUAUUUUUGGAAUACGAUGUCAAUCAGCAUGUCCACAGGAGUGUCACGAUUGUCAUCAUAUUACUGGGCAAUGCCUAACAGAUCAAAAUGAGUGUGAUCCAGGAUUCUCAGGACUCAACUGUUCUGAACACUGUCCUCGCGGCGUGUUUGGAAGACGAUGUCAAUCAGUAUGUCCACAGGACUGCCGGGAUUGUCACUAUAUCACUGGACAAUGUCUAGCAGACCAAAAUGGUACACUGUAUACACACCGUUGAUGCUAUAUAUGGAGCAGCCAUACCGCCAAAGCGAGCGACACAGG